CCAUCAUCGGUGUGAACCAGUCAGGCCAGGCUCUGCACAGAGCCAGCUGGGUCUGGGCCGUCGGGAGGGGAAGGUGGGCAAACUUCCAGCAAAGGCGGCAUGUCUCUUUUCAGAGCAGCGUCUUCACAUACGAAGAUAGAGGUUUUUAUGAAAAAAUUGUCUCCAGUUUCUCUGAGCAGCAGCUGGAUGGCAACGAGUCCCCCCUGGUGGAUGUGCCCAGCCAGAGGGGGCCGGACGAGGGCCACCCCGCAGAAUCAGAGGGAGUGACCACCCUUGUGACUAUGCCCCCCAACGAGGAACUGACGGAGAUCUCACUGGGCAAGAUAACAGAGGGUGAGAUUGGACCUUUCAGCUCCAUCAAGGUGCCCAUCAUCUUUUCCCCGGUCAUCCCAGGAGCCAUCCAGACCAGGUUCAAAGUCAUGUUUAAGAAUCAGCAGUGCCCGACAGUGAGUGUCCCACAACUGCUUUACACACAUGGUCACUGGGGCACGGAGCCUUCCCUGGGCACAGGGUCCCCGCCCCUCUGUGCUCCCUCCCCACACAACGUGAGGCAGCUGCUCAUGUCACCCACAUGGACGGCUACUUGGUGUCACAGAUGGUUAACACCCAUAGCCAACACGCACACACGCACGCACACACGCACACACAGCCUUUGUUCUUAAUAGCUAGAAAUGUCUUUCUUAAUUUCCAGGUAGUUAAAAUUAUUAUUCACUACUUAUCAUUUAUUUAUAA